rnacentral:rRNA from 1 species
CCCUUAGAUGUUCUGGGCCGCACGCGCGCUACACUGAUGCAUUCAACGAGUCUAAAACCUGCUCUGAUAGGGGUGGGUAAUCUUUUGAAUGUGCAUCGUGAUUGGGAUAGAUGAUUGAAAUUUUUCAUCUUCAACGAGGAAUGCCUAGUAAACGCAAGUCAUCAGCUUGCAUUGAUUACGUCCCUGCCCUUUGUACACACCGCCCGUCGCUCCUACCGAUUGAAUGAUCCGAUGAAUAUCAUGGAUUGAGGAUGCAAGUAGGUUCACCUAUCUUCAUCUUCGAGAAGUGAAGUAAAUCUUAUCAUUUAGAGGAAGGAGAAAUCGUAACA